rnacentral:rRNA from 1 species
GACGAACGCUGGCGGCGUACUUAACACAUGCAAGUCGAACGAUGAAGAAGAGCUUGCUCUUCGGAUUAGUGGCGAACGGGUGAGUAACACGUGACUAACCUGCCCCUUUCUCUGGGAUAACGCUCCGAAAGGAGUGCUAAUACCGGAUACUCACAUCGAGGCACAUGCCUUGAUGUGGAAAGUUUUUCGGAAAGGGAUGGAGUCGCGGCCUACCAGCUUGUUGGUGAGGUAACGGCUCACCAAGGCGACGACGGGUAGCCGGCCUGAGAGGGCAACCGGCCACACUGGGACUGGGACACGGCCCAGACUCCUACGGGAGGGAGCAGUGGGGAAUAUUGCACAAUGGGCGAAAGCCUGAUGCAGCGACGCCGCGUGAGGGAUGAAGGUCUUCGGAUUGUAAACCUCUUUCAGUAGGGACGAAGCGAAAGUGACGGUACCUAAAGAAGAAGCACCGGCUAACUACGUGCCAGCCGCCGCAGUAA